UGCCUCACCACCGACGUGAAGGGCUGAGGGGAGCCAUUCUGCACGCACGCCUACCCGU
rnacentral:SRP_RNA from 14 species